UGGGUCGGCAAGACGGUCGCGUCAUCCGCUUCCCUUCGGGGUGGCGGAUGCCGAGGAACGUCCGGGCUCCACAGAGCAGGAUGGUGGGUAACACCCACCCGGGGUAACCCGCGAGACAGUGCCACAGAAAGUAGACCGCCCUCGGCUUCGGCCGGAGGUAAGGGUGAAACGGUGGUGUAAGAGACCACCAGAGGCCAGGGUGACCUGGUCGGCUUGGUAAACCUCGUCCGGAGCAAGGUCAGACAGGAAACGUUAAGGCGGCUCGCCGAGUUUCCGGGUAGACCGCU
rnacentral:RNase_P_RNA from 1 species